rnacentral:lncRNA from 1 species
GUAGGUUAUAGUUGAAAGAGCCACAGGAAACUCUGUGUCCUUGCUUCCCUUUCACGCGUAUGGACUCAUAUUCCAUGAUUGAAAGGUUAUCUUCUGGAAGCCUACUGUUUUACCUUUCAGAGUUUGGUCUACAACACACCUAAACUGAUGUUUGUGUAUGGUAUGAGGGGCUGCUACUAAGAGAAAGCAUGCUCUCAGAUAACCGUUUUCAGAUAACGUCGAGAAAGUGAGAGUAUACACAGAUCAACAUGAUGGUCCACUUAACGGGGGAAGAGAGUAAAAUGUUGGUGUCACUGACAAGGAUGGCAACAUUUAAAUGUUCAGAUCCUUACAGGAGAAGCAUUGCAGUCACUUGACAAUCUCAAGCUAUGUGUUUCUUCAGUGCUUCUUGAAAA